GCACUAUAUUAUUUCUACAAGUCAAAUUUAUCAUUUUUAUAUUUUCACGAUAAACUUGGGCGUUUUCCCACCGAUGGCGCCAUUUUUAGUAUGCUUCAGUUGGCUUCAGUCAUCAGCUGUUAUCAGGAAGUGAUCUUGUGAUUGUUAUAUUUGUGAGCGAAACAUUUAUAAUUUCACCCGCAUUACAUGUACAUUUCCAUUCAUAAGAGUUUCAGGAGUUGGAGAAACGCAAGGAAAACAGUGAAAGCCGACGAUUCCCUCGAAGGGGAAUAGGACAAGCCGAGAGCGAAACAAGAAGACGUGGAAGAGGAAUGGGAUCGUCCGAGAAAUAGGACGCGUUCCGUAUAAUGUCGGCGCGAUAAAAAGUAUAAUGAGAGGGGGAUCCCGUCGCUAUUCCUCAGGAUCGGCUAGUCGACGACGCAAAGGUUUCAAUGGCGCCGUCGCGAAGAUGGGAAAUAAUAUGCAAUUAGGGCAUCGGCGAACGAGUGACGAAGAGGGUCGAUUAACAUCAAACACAGCCGGCGCGAUAGUCGGUGCGACACAUAUGCCAGUAGGACACCGCCACGAUUGGAUCUAGCGAGUCUCGGAGUCGAGUCCCAGGUAAAGCAGUAUACGGGUCGUAAUUAAAGGACUGAUCUAUCGAUCCUUUCGGAUCUGUCGACAUGCGAGACGGCUACCUGUGCCAGACGGAGCACGUACACUCGGAUGGACACGCACACGCGCUCAUGCGCGCGUUACGUGCGCGCUGCUGUGUACACGGUAGCCAUAUAUGGUGCAGAGACGCUAGUGGUCAGUCCGGCGUAUGGUGAUGGUAAAGCGGUACCACCAUCUUUAUCUCGGUCACGGCGACUCCGUGAAAGUGAGAGCCGUUUCUCCCCGAUGCUUCGAGUACCUGCACGUACGCAUUAUCCAGACAAUUCCCCUUCGUUUGCGUGAGCUCUCUCUUUCCCUUCCUUUAUCUUAUUUUUUUUUUCGCGGGCGUCCCGCAUCUGGGUCGCUUGGCACGCUCGUGGAUUUCGAGCCGAGAAAGAAAGGGAGUCGUUUUCGAUUUUGUCGGCUCUGCUCGAUAACUCCCUAACGAGUUUUGAUCGAAAUACUUUUCUAUUUUCACUUAUUUAAUAUUUUUAAUUCGUAGCAAUUAAACGAAAAUCUUAAAACAAUAUAUUAAUUUCAGCAUACUGAGGUGGGUUAAAAAUUAUCCUGCAUGUAAAGCUAAGCAAAAGGUGGGGCAGUUUAAACCCAGAUGACCCUAAAGGGUUAAGGGUUAAUUAUCGAAGAUACGCUUAAGAGGCGUCUGACACGAGGGACUUAUACUACUGCUGGCGCGCGGACAUCGGUUGACGCACGAUACAGGGAUCACUGCUCGCGCGUUGGCAGUAGUAUAAGACGUCAGACGUCAGACGUCUCGUACGCGCAUUUCCAACGAUUAAUUAUUCCAAUCGAAAACCUGGAACGCUAACUAUAUAUGAAAACGAAAGUGAUGUAUACAUAGAAAAUUCUAUAAUAUUAAAUUCUAUAAUAUUUAAUAACAAGUGCACGUGUCUAUUUAUAACUGUAUAAAUAUGAUAACUUAAUAAUCGAAUUGUACCUUUCGGGUCCGUAUCGAUGAAAAUAAUACGACACUGAGAGGAAUGCAAUCCAAAAAAAGUAACAGUUUCUAAGAAUGCACGAUAGGCCUGAUUAAUAACUUCCUACAUAUUGGAUCAUCCCGAGUAACUCUCCCCUCGCUCUCCUCGCCCAUUAAAGACCAGUCAGGGUAAAACGUUGAAACAGGGAACGCUCGUCCAUCGCGUGUAAAUCGGAAUCGAUCACCCCGUCAGUGAUAUUUUCCUCUUUAGCGUCACGUUAAUUUUCAAACGUGUCUCGGGCGUGGAGUCAUCGAUAUCGCUGUAGUCGCGCGUACACGCAUGUCCGCGGUGUCCGUUUUCUCUAUUUUUCUCGUGUGCUAUCUCCUGGCUUCCAUGUAUCUUCCCGUUCCGUCGUGCCAACUUGACGUACGCGUACGAGCGUCAUCGUUGCGUGGAACGCGUCGCGUGUGUCGCGGAUUGCCGCGCCUGUCGCUGUAUCAUCGUACACCAGACGUGAAAUAUACGCAGAAAAUGUUCAUCGAUCGAUCUUAAUGAUCCAUAAGAACGUAAACGCAAAGAGAGAAGAACGCCGGCGACGAGGAACGGGCUCGGAUCAUCCGUAAACGAUUCUGACAAAAGGAAAUACGAGGGGGACGUCGUCGAUCAUUUCCCCGCGACGUACCCCGGAUCGGUUCGGUACGCGGGCCGAGCAGAUUUAUCACAGAUUAACGCGUAAUGCCGCGAUUACGAUUAUAAAUGGCUCGUCGUGCGCGACGUGUUAAGUGCCUCGCUAUCUGCGAUGGAGAAUUUUUGGUACGUAAUGAAUUGUGCAUUCUUGGCGAUCCAGGAAUCUUUAGAAAGCUCUGGAUUUUGUUGAUGUUCUGAUUUUUUUGAGGAAGAAGUUUACGGAUUAUUUUGGAGGGAGUUUCUUUUAAAUAUGAAGAGGAAAUUAUGAUGAGACGCUAUUAAUCAAACUUUUAAAUUAAAAACAAAUUACUAAAUGUUGGUAGUGUGAAUGUGUACACAAACAAAUAAUAAUUAGGAGUGGACCACGAGGUAGAGAGGCUUGAGAACCCCUGCAUCGAACGUUAGAUCGGUCCUAGAAUUAGAGAAUCGCCGACAACUGAUAGCGUACGCGCGGAGUGUUUCUCGGAAAUCAUCGUGGUUGUUUUUUGCUCCCCCCAGCCGGCCCUUCUUCCACGGAAUUAUUAAUUCUCCGCCAUUAUCUGAUUACGAUCGUCCAAUUAAAGUACAGUCGGAUGCGCGAUGCCGCGAGGUUCGGUCAGUAAUUCGACGUCGGCCCGCGAAGAGGGAUCGCGAUCUACUCGCUGACUAUUAGCUUCGAAACUCGUUGCAGGACGUGUCGAUGCGUCCUCGACUUCCACUCGUGUUCCUCCUCUUUCCUUCCUUUCGUCUUCUUUAUCCGUUUUACCGACAUCGCGCAGCCUCUGUCGCUCAACCUCCAAGAUCCUUCUCGAUUAUAUCCAUAUUUUCUAACGAUGAUACAACGAUUGGGAAUUCGAAUUCAGAGGUACCAGGACCAGGAGGUCUCAGACGAUCCUGAGGUUUCAGAAUUAGUUCUUAGGUAUACAUGAUAAUAACUAAUUCUUUAAGGAUUUCGAGGAACGGUGCGAUUAUUUCCUAUCCGACGAUAACGCGCUCGCGUGACAUUGCAUACAAUAGAGGGGACCUCUUUCCAUCUCCGUCGAUGAAGCAUGCGUCACCUCCACGGAUUAUAAAUCUGCUUAAAGCGACGCGAUUCGCUCGGUCCGCGCCGCGAACAAGCGAGCGAGCGAACGAACGACUUAAAACAUCCUUUUUCUCGCUCCGGAUAAGGGGCCAGUUUAUAUGCCUAGGCGUGGUACAUCCGACCGAUGUAACUCACCAUGCUGGCGACAACAAAUCCUCUGAAACUCGCAUUGUUCGUUGUGUCGCUCUCCAGAGACGUACAGGGUGAGCUGAAACUCUUGACACGGUGGAACGGAUGUUCCUACUUGGAUAGGACAUGCGAGGGUUCUGGAUAAUUGGUGCUUCGGGUGACCAGGGAAUUUGGAUAUUUCAGGUGAAUUGAUAGGAGAUAGUCAUAUUUUGCUUGAAGCUGUAGGUAUUCCAAGUUUCAAUCAGAUCAGGCUUCAUCUUAGAUAUUAUUCUUAGGAGCGUUCAAUUUAAAGUUUCUUCUUUCAAACACCCUUGAACCGAGAUCCUGAGAUACCUGGAAUAACUGUCCGAAGCUAUUAACCUGUACGCCUUAUUCAAAGCUACGAAGAGAUGCAACAGGAAAGUGUGUUAUUUAAAAAAGAUUUUAAUUCAGUAAAGGAACAAUCGAUAUACACAGUCGUUAAACCACUGGUCGUGGAUGAAUUAUCGAUAGGGAAGUUAUAAUGGGAAAGUUGACUUUGACU